ACGUCACGCAGUAUUGGACCGCCCAUUCGCUGCCGUUGUCUGCCACUCAGGAAAUUCUAUGGAUGAUAGGUGACUGAGGUGAAGUGCCCGCCCCCCGCGUAAGAAAAGGAACACGGCGGCGCGUUUCCAUGGUAGCAUGGACGUCGCAGGCCCUCCCCCUAAUACAGCCAGAAUGACACAUGUUGUCUUCAUUUCAUAUACAUUACUUGUGGGAAUAAAAAGGACUGGCUUGAACGAAA